rnacentral:rRNA from 1 species
GAAGGGGGCUAGCGUUGCUCGGAAUGACUGGGCGUAAAGGGCGCGUAGGCGGUUGUUACAGUCAGAUGUGAAAUCCCCGGGCUUAACCUGGGAACUGCAUUUGAUACGUGACGACUAGAGUUCGAGAGAGGGUUGUGGAAUUCCCAGUGUAGAGGUGAAAUUCGUAGAUAUUGGGAAGAACACCGGUGGCGAAGGCGGCAACCUGGCUCGAUACUGACGCUGAGGCGCGAAAGCGUGGGGAGCAAACAGGAUUAGAUACCCUGGUAGUCCACGCUGUAAACGAUGUGUGCUGGAUGUUGGGAAACUUAGUUUUUCAGUGUCGAAGCUAACGCGCUAAGCACACCGCCUGGGGAGUACGGCCGCAAGGUUG